rnacentral:tRNA from 1 species
AGCUAUUUAGUUUAUUUUAAAAUGGUCGUUUGUGGUGCGAUAGAGGUGUAGCUU